rnacentral:rRNA from 1 species
AGUAACGCGUGGAUAACCUGCCGUAUACAGGGGGAUAACACUUAGAAAUAGGUGCUAAUACCGCAUAAGCGCACAGCUUUGCAUGAAGCAGUGUGAAGAGCAAAAAGUUAAAACUUUUAGCGGUAUACGAUGGAUCCGCGUCUGAUUAGCCAGUUGGCGGGGUAACGGCCCACCAAAGCGACGAUCAGUAGCCGGCCUGAGGGGGCGGACGGCCACAUUGGGACUGAGACACGGCCCAGACUCCUACGGGAGGCAGCAG